GACGAACGCUGGCGGCGUGCCUAAUACAUGCAAGUAGAACGCUGAAGAGAGGAGCUUGCUCUUCUUGGAUGAGUUGCGAACGGGUGAGUAACGCGUAGGUAACCUGCCUGGUAGCGGGGGAUAACUAUUGGAAACGAUAGCUAAUACCGCAUAAAAUUGAUUAUUGCAUGAUAAUUAAUUGAAAGAUGCAACUGCAUCACUACCAGAUGGACCUGCGUUGUACUAGCUAGUUGGUGAGGUAACGGCUCACCAAGGCGACGAUACAUAGCCGACCUGAGAGGGUGAUCGGCCACACUGGGACUGAGACACGGCCCAGACUCCUACGGGAGGCAGCAGUAGGGAAUCUUCGGCAAUGGGGGGAACCCUGACCGAGCAACGCCGCGUGAGUGAAGAAGGUUUUCGGAUCGUAAAGCUCUGUUGUAAGAGAAGAACGGGUGUGAGAGUGGAAAGUUCACA
rnacentral:rRNA from 1 species